rnacentral:misc_RNA from 1 species
GACACGUCUUGCGCGCGGCGCAGCAUCAGGUUGGAGACGGCAAAGCUGACCGGCGCGGUCAUCGACACCGAAAACGCCCAGACGCUGAAGUCGUAGCCGACCGUGAAGCAGAUCAGCAGCAACCCGCACAUCGCGAUCGCAAUACNUCCCGAGCACCUGAAGCCGCGUCGGCAGUUCACGCAGAAAAAUAGCUGCGAAGGCCACCGU